ACGCACGCCCAUGAACACUGAUAGCAAUUG
rnacentral:piRNA from 1 species